rnacentral:lncRNA from 1 species
UGAGAUUAACCCUGUAUUUACAAAAACCAAGGGUAAAACAGCAAAAAGAUCCAUCCUUAUUGAGUAUAUUGGAGUGAUAAUCCACAGCAUAAAUUCAAAGGCUAAGUUCUAACACGUUUCAAGUGCAAGCCCGCUUAUUGUUGACAAGCUUAAACUUGGGAUAGAUAAUUUGUAAAAAAACUAAUUACUAGAGCUCUUAUUGGUUGUUGUUAGAAAUUAAAC